rnacentral:lncRNA from 1 species
CAAGUUUUCCAUAUACACAGGUUGCCUGGUCAUACAUGAGAGAUCAUCAGUUGCUGCAGGCCAAGGUUGCAACCACACCAAAAUGAUGUAUUAAAUCACCAGACAAGUACUUUUUACAAAACACACAUAUAGAAAAAAAACUAAAUGAAAAAUCAUGCAUUCCGAGACGCAUGUACAUCAACUACAGCUGAUAUGACGAAAUGGUGGGUCCCGAAUGUAAGCUACCCCAAAGGAGACGGCAACUGGCCGGCACGGAGCGGAGGGCAUGUAACUAAUUUUUCCGCAAGUGGUAGUGGCAUAGACCGAACUCGUGAAGUUCGAGUGGCAGCUGUUGAAUAUCCGACUUCACUAGUGGCACAGGCCCAAAUUUCCCUCCACUCACUAAUUGACCCCUUGUGGCUGCAGCAUAUUAUGUUGUAGGUGUAUUUCACAAAGAGUAAGGGUGCGUAGGUUCGCUAGUCUCCACUCUACACAUUUCGCCUCUGGCAUCGAAUGAGACUUUCAUUGUUAACUUUAUUUACUUCGAUGAGCUAGGUUUGGGCAAAGCAAUUUGUAUUAGACUGUGUAUUCUGGAUCAUGAUGAUUAGUAGGACUUAUUAUUAUGAUGAUUAGUAGGACUUAUUAUUAUGAUAAUGCAUGAUGCGAGCAUGAAGAGUUAUUAUAUAUCAGUGGGUGAAAUGAACAUGGAUUGGAUUGAAGUGAAGGCAACAUGCAUGUGGUGCAUGUCGAAAGUAGUACUAAUCCAAACUUAAUCAAGUUAGGAUUAGUAUUACUUUCUACAUGCACCACAUGUUGCCUUCACUUUAAUCUAAGCCAUGUUUAGGCAUAGCAGUACCGUUGCUAAACCAAGCAUGGAGAUAAGAGAGGACAUUUCUCUCUAUUAGCUAGCUAACACACCCUAAAUUAUCCCCUAAACCACCCCCUUUCAGAAAAAAAGAAAAACCUCAGCUCCUGCCAGCUGCUGACGCGUGGACGCCUAUUUAUUCCCGGUUGGUGCCACCAACCGGGACCAAAGGCCCUCCUGCCUGGGCUCGCAGCACCGGCCACGUGAAGGCCCAUAUGUCCCGGUUCGUGUAAGAACCGGGACUAAAGGCCUAAGGCUUUAGUAACGACCCUUUAGUCCCGGUUUAAAAACCGGGACAAAUGGGCCUUACGAACCGGGACAAUAGGUCAUUUUUCUACUAGUGGUGGCACAGGCCAAAAUUCCCUCCACUCACUGAUUGAGCCCUUGUGGCUGCAGCGUAUUAUGUUGUAGGUGUAUUUCACAAAGAGUAAGGAUGCGUAGGUUCGCUAGUCUCCACUCUACACAUUUCGCCUCUGGCAUCGGAUGAGACUUUCAUUGUUAACUUUAUUUACUUUGAUGAGCUAGCUUUGGGCAAAGCAAUUUGUAUUAGACUGUGUAUUCUGGAUCAUGCGUUGUAAUAGAAUAGGAUAAUUUUGUGUUGGUAUUUCAUUGGUAUCGUGUAUGCUGGCGAAUCAAUCCAGUGACGGGCACGGUAAGCACGGAGAGUCAAAACCUAACAGGUUUGGUCCUUACAGCAUGCAGCCUGGGUGAUAAAAAAAAGACGAUGCAACCUAGACCUGUUAAAAAGCCAUUUUACAGGAGUACUCCUCCCUAAACAGAAUUCAAAACUGAAACAAAACUCUAUCUAGGACUCAAAUAUAUGCCAGCGGGCUGAUCUUUGUACAACAAACAUGAUGAACUUUAACCAGCCACACAAGAUCUUCUUUCUUUCUUUCUUUGCGGGAACAGUAGAUCUUCUUUCGACAGGGAGGAAUGAUAGACUUUGUAUCUGAUCGGCGCUAGCGCCCUAAUAAACAUAUAAAAGUACAAUCUUGAUAUACUUUUUGAGGGGAGUACAGUCUUGAUUAACGGCCGCAAGUACAAAGUCUUGUGCGGCAAACACAUCCGGGCCAGUCAGGAUCGCCUUGGUCUGCAGGAACAGUUUACAUAUGACUUGCAAUGGGUACUAACAAUUGUGGGAGUAUAAUAUGUUAACACUUAAUUGAUUAGAUAUUACGAUGGAUCUGUAGAACAAACGACAUAUGAUCUGCAAGACUACAACAAGGCCAUACUUUAAGAAAAAGACUAGGUGGCCAGAGCACUUACGACAUCCAAACCCACGGGCACACGAAUCCGCCAGCCCUCGGGGCGCCGUCGCAAUGAGCAGAAUGAUCUCCAGUAUAACGAGCAGAAGAACCAUGUCCAUGUGGCACCUCCAAGCCAUGAUCUAUAUGGCAAAACGAAGGCUGUUGCACUCGCCACUCUUUUUGUCCUCUUGAUUGCCACCCUGCUGCUUCUUGGUCUCUCUCUAUAUAAUGGGGUUUGUACAGAAAUUUGGAUGAACCCGCGCUCCAUAUGACUGUUGAACAAUUGUAGCUGGCAUAGACGACUCAAAGUGGAGAGAAGUCAGCUACAAAGAAGAGAGUAGCUGGUAAUGGUAGGCCGGUCCUGUCCACGUUGCUGAAAACCCAAAGAAUAUGGUGCUCCCGAUCGGGAUUGCUCUGCUUCAGAGUCUACAUGCAGCAGUGGAUUCAACUGUCAAGAAGGGUGGGCGGCCGUUGAAAAUGGACUGUUGUGCUCAGCGCGCCGGAAAUUUCCGUGUAGUUUAGAGUGGCACGGCUAAGUUGAUUACUUGUGAUGACAAUCUAUGCAUGUGAUGAAGACUUUGACCACGUCCAAGGCGUUGGUCGUCUCAGACGACUCUAACCAUCUGCCUGCCUCGAGAUCUGCAGCACGACCUGCUACGCCAUUGUAAUUUGCACAGUAUAUGUACAGUAACACCUUAAGCGAUGACAGUAACCAUCCACACCGCAUGCGGUGGUUACAACAGUACUGUAUUAAAGACUUUUCCACCGCAAAAAAAAGUAUUAAAGACUUUUCAAUGGCUUGUAAGUUUCUUGCAUAAGCAGUGACUUGGACAUGAAAGCAAGGCUGGGAUCCAGAAGUGCGGAUGGAUGAACGAGGAUAACAAGUGCAUGCACUUGGAAAAGUGGUAGCAUGGAACAAGAAUUCUCACAGGCUUAAAGGAGGAAGAGUGUAAACUCGCAGUAAGCUAGCUUUUGGCCUUGACCAAAUCCAAGCAUGCAUCAAGCUCAAGUCUAUAAGACCAACACAUGCAUACGUCUACCAGGCCAGAGUAGCAAAGCACAAUAGAAAAUUCACUGAUGUCCACAUUACACACCAACAACAUGGCGUGUCCUCUGUUAGCCAUCCUCCUCCUGUCAUCAGCUUUGAACCACUUCUCAUCUGCUGCAACACUAGCUGAUAGUAGCACCCUCACCAGCACAGAUGCUCUGCUCUGCCUCAAGUCUCGCCUCCGCGGCAACACACGGGCCAUGGCUAUGUGGAACAACAGCGCCUCGCCGGAUUUCUGCGCUUGGCCAGGGGUCACCUGCACAAGGAGGACAGGGCAACCACCCCUUGUGGUGGCCUUGGAUAUGGAGGCGGAAGGACUCGCGGGUGAGAUCCCAUCAUGCAUCUCCAACCUCACUUCUCUGGUAAGAAUCCACUUGCCCAACAACCAGCUCUCCGGCCAUAUCCCGUCGGAACUUGGCCGGCUCUCUGGACUCAGGUACCUCAACCUCAGCGUCAACACGCUCAGCGGCACCAUCCCUCUCAGUCUUGGUGCGCUUCACAACCUUUCUUCUCUAGACUUGGGUAGCAAUGGACUAUCCGGUGAAAUUCCACCUUUCAUGAAGUCAAAGCUCACAUACCUAAGUCUAGUCGGAAACAGCUUUACCGGAGUCGUGCCGCCAUCGGUGGCAAAUCUCUCAUCCCUUACAUACCUCUUGCUUGCGCAAAACCAGUUGCAAGGAUCCAUUCCUGAUUUGGGUGAACUGUCAAGCCUACAAAACCUUGAUCUCUCCUACAACAAUCUAUCAGGGACAGUACCGCCCUCCAUUUACAAUUUGUCCUCAUUAAACUACCUUGGGUUGUCCAACAAUAACCUUGGAGGAACACUACCUUCUGGUAUGGGCAACACACUUCCUAACAUCCAAAUACUGAUGAUGCAUAAUAAUCAUUUUGAGGGGGCUAUUCCAGCCUCGCUGCAGAAUGCCUCCAGCAUGACGAUUAUCCAUCUAGGCAACAACUCUUUGACUGGGGUGAUUCCUUCUUUUGGCUCCAUGCCAAACUUGAAGCAUGUAAUGUUGUACUCAAAUCAGCUAGAAGCCGGGGACUGGGCAUUCUUCUCCUCCUUAGCAAAUUGUACACGUUUGCAGCAACUGAACUUGGGUAGAAACAACCUUCGGGGAGAUUUACCACCGAAUUCCAUAGAGAAUCUGCCCAAAAGCUUGACCGCUCUAACUCUUCGGUCAAACAACAUCUCUGGCACCAUUCCCUUGGAGAUUGGAAACUUGUCUAAUCUUGCCCUGCUCUAUCUUGAUAGAAAUCUUUUCGGUGGGCCUAUACCUUCUACCCUUGGUCAACUAAGCAAUCUUGUCGUGCUUAGCCUAUCACAGAACAAAUUUUCUGGGGAAAUACCUCCUUCCGUUGGAAGCCUACACCAGCUGCAAGAGCUCUAUUUGCAAGAAAAUCAAUUGAGUGGAAGCAUACCUGCAAGUCUAGCCAGCUGUGAGAACUUACUUGCAUUAAACCUUUCAUGUAAUACCCUUGGUGGAAGCAUAAGUGGAGACAUGUUGGGCAAGUUGAAUCAGUUGAGUUGGCUACUUGAUUUAUCACACAACCAAUUCGCAAUGUCCAUACCAGUAGAGAUGGGUAGCUUGAUAAACCUUGGUUCCUUGAACAUCUCCCACAACAAUCUCACGGGAAGAAUACCGUCCACACUCGGUGCUUGUGUCCGAUUGGAAGCGCUUCGUGUAGAAGGGAACCUCCUGCAAGGAAACAUCCCACAAUCGCUAGCAAACCUGAAAGGCAUCCAAAUGUUUGAUUUCUCCAACAACAACCUAUCUGGUACAAUUCCAGAGUUCCUCGAGACCUUCACCUCGUUGCAGUAUCUGAAUAUGUCCUUCAACAACUUGGAAGGACCAGUCCCCAUAGGUGGAGUGUUUGCUAACACAAGUGGUAUUUUUGUCCAAGGAAAUCCACACCUUUGUUCAAAUGGUGCAUUAAGAGAGCUUCCUAGAUGCUUUGCUUCGGCAUCCACAAAAAAGCAAAAGUUUUUUGUUCCUAUGAUGAUAGCUCUGUCAGCUCUUGUCGCACUUGCUUUAAUCUUGGGGGUGUUCAGUUUUUGGUUGAGAAGGAGAUACACAUCCGGUGAGAGAAUUGGCCAUUCAUACAUGGAGUUGAAAAGGAUAACAUACGGUGACGUAAUGAAAGCAACAGAUAGUCUUUCUCUAGCCAAUGUAGUCGGCUCCGGGCAAUUUGGGAUUGUCUACAAAGGUUGGUUCGACGCGGAAGAUGGUACGGUUGCUGUUAAAGUCUUCAAGCUCAAUCAACAUGGCGCAUUGCAUAGCUUCAUUGCUGAGUGCAAAGCUUUGCAACACAUCCGCCAUCGGAAUCUCGUGAAGGUGAUAACCGCGUGCUCAACUUAUGACCUAGUGGGAAAUGAGUUCAGGGCUCUAGUCUUUGAGUAUAUGGCCAACGGGAGCCUUGAAGACCGACUUCACAACCACCAGUGUGGUGGUUUGAGUUUAGGCGCAGUGAUCCGCAUAUCAGUUGACAUUGCUUGUGCUCUUGAAUACCUACAUAACCAGUGCAUCCCACCGGUUGUUCACUGCGAUCUAAAACCAAGCAACAUACUUUUCGACAAUGAUGAUACUGCACGUGUCUGCGACUUUGGUCUGGCAAAGCUAAUUCAUGGAUGUUCAUCUGGAGGGCAGAGCGGCACAACAAGCAUAGUUGGACCAAGGGGAUCUAUUGGGUACAUACCUCCUGGUCAGUAUAUUUUACAAGCCCAUUACGAAAUAAUGUUAACGAAAUGUAGUAUGACUAACUAUAUCAGUUGCUAGUUUGUUUGUUAUUAAUACUAGCAUGUUUCACUUUUGUACUCCGCUGAAGAACUUUUUGUUUCAAAACAUUAUUGCAGAGUAUGGCAUGGGCAGUGAAAUCUCAACCGAGGGUGACGUCUACAGCUAUGGCAUUGUUCUUUUGGAAAUGCUUACACGGAAACGGCCUACCAAUGAAGAGUUCAGUGAUGGCUUGACGCUCCACAAGUAUGUAGAUGCAUCACUUUCACGAACCCAAGACAUUCUUCACCCCGGUCUUACUUUAGAGACGGGAGAUCAGCGUGUCGAUCAUAUUCCAAACUUGCAAGAGCACAACACAUUUGCACUGAAGGACAUCUGUGCUCUCCGGCUCCUUAGACUUGGCUUAUUAUGCUCAGCGGAAUCACCUAAGGAUCGCCCAGCAAUGCAUGAUGUCUACGGCGAAGUAACUGAAGUAAAAGAGGCAUAUUUCUCUAUUGACAACCGAAGGCAAUGACCCUACAUAAUGAAGGCAAAGACACUCGAUGAAGAUGAAGAUGAAGAUGAAGCUCGUUGCUCCGACCACAGCAUGACAACAUGUUGCUAUCUUUUUUCCUUUUCUGUAAGCCAAUAUGUUUGGCUCACUGUAAUAAUUUGGUUACAUACGCUCCCAAUGUCUCGCCAAGAUCUUCUGAUAAUCUUUUCAUACAUCAAUAAAGAGCCCUUUGCCUUAUAAUGAUGGGUUUCUACUAGGGAAUUUUUUGAUAUUUUCUUUGCUGGAAAACUAGAAGACUAUAGAACAAAAACACAUUGUACGCACCUGUCAGAUCCCCACGUAAACAAAUAUUAAAUGGCAAAUACAGUUGGAACUGUAAAACUCACUUUCCAGUUCACCUCUCGCCACGAACUUGUAAAUUCUACAGCAAGCUUCACAAAUUAUACAACAAGCUCGAUGUUCCUUGGGUGAACUUGAUCUGGGAUACUUAUUAUGCAGGCAAGAUACCUCAUGCAACGGAGCCGUGUGGAUAGUUUUGGUGGAGGGAUCUCAUGCAACUCUCGGAUAUCUACAGAGGAGUCACAAAGACGGAUGUGGCAGCGGGAGACAUGGUCCUCUUCUGGAAGGACAAAUGGAAAAGUGAAAAUUUUCAAGACAAAUUCCCGAGAGCCUUCUCGUUUGCCAGAGAGCCGGACACUUCGGUGCGUCAACUACUAUCCUCUGAACAAUUGGGUGAGGUGUUCCACCUUCCUCUCUCAUCGGAGGCGCGACAAGAGGUGGCUGGUCUGUAGACUGAAACUUUGGAUAUUUCCCUCGUGGCGGGCAAGGAUACUUGGUCUUGUGUCUGGGGCGGGAGAGACUUUAGAUCUACACAAUUUUAUGCUCACUGCUUCAGCCAAGUGCAUGCUGACGAUGCCUUCAGUUGGAUAUGGAAAACUAAAUGUACCAUGUAGUGGAAAGUGUUCCUGUGGCUGUUGAUGGCCGAUAGACUAAACACUAGGAAUAUGCUCAAGAGAAGGCAUUACAAAAUCCAAAAUGAUGACUAUACUUGUCUACUUUGUCACAACCCUCCGGAGGAGGACAUCGUGCACCUCUUCUUUACCUGCCCCUUCAGCCAGAGAUGCUGGAAUGCCCUUGGAAUCCAAUGGCCAAAUGAUACUUGCAGGUUGAGAAUGCUGCAUGAUUCCAAGGUCAAAUGGGCUCAGCCUUUGUUCCAGGAAGUUUUUGCGGUGGCAGCUUGGGGGAUCUGGAAGGAGAGAAAUGACAAACACUUCAUCCAGCCCUCGUUUGAUUCUUGGAAGAAUAGAUUCAAGCUGGACUUUGCCAUGCUAGCUCAUAGAUCGAAGCAGGAGCAUGGCCCUUACAUUUUAUCACUAGUUAGCUCACUGUAAUUCUUUGUAAUAGCUUAUUAAUCACUCCCCCCCUCCAAUGUAAAUUGUAACUUUCUGGAUACUCUAACCCCCCCUAACUCUUAACUUAUUAAUACAAAAGGCAGAGAAUCUCACUGUCAUCAGUUCUCAGAAAAAAACAAACUUGUAAUUUUCAUCAAAAUUUGUGAUUAUUUUGUGACCUAGACAACAAGUUUUGAGAUUACAAAUGAAUAGCAGAUAUUCAAUUCGGCUCUUGGGAGCAUAUGCUUUUGCCCACCAAAAAUGUUUUUUCUAAAUGUCAACAUAUUUUAGAAAAAAACAGAUGUGUUCAUUGUCAGACCAAAAUGCAGUGUAAGUUUUUAGGAAGAAAGCUUAAGAUUUUGAUCUGUGCAAAAAAAGAAUAAGUCAAACACCAAAUGUUACACUUAUUUUUUUUUCACCAACGAGCACCCUCAUCCUGUUUCACAUCAAAAUUGCCAAGCACGCUUGUUACACUAACAAGAACAUCUACAAAAAAUAUCAGAAUUUUUAAAUUUUAUUUACUAUUUAUUUUUAAUUUACUGUUCAUUAAGGAGCAUAUGCACCCAAAGCCAAAACGGCCCUCCUAAUGAAUAGCCAUAGAGUUGUCUUUUUCAUACAAGUAAUAUUUCACAAGAUAUAGCCCAAUUUACAACCAUGACUUGUUUUCAUAUUUUUGGAAACUGAGAAAAAAAAGUACAGGGAUGACAUAAUUACUUUCCCCCGUGCACGAGGUCACAGGUCUCUACUUUAUCUUAAAAUGAAGGCCUGUAGUAGAACUAGGAAAAACUUGAAACAUACUGUAAUUAUAACCAUGACAUGCCCAGCAGUUUCAAAUCAAACUAUAUCGUAUAAACUGCAAAAGGAGCAACUGAACUAAUCUGCACUCUGAAGUUUUCCAUAUACACAGGUUGUCUGGUCAUACAUGAGAUUCAUCGGUUGCUGCAGACCAAGGUUGCAACCACACCAAAAUGAUGUAUUAAAAUCACCAGACAAAUACUCUUUACACAACACACAUACAAAAAAAACGCAAAACGAUAAAUCACGGGCUCCUGGUCGCAUGCAUGUACAUCGACUUCUAACAUUUGGCUUCCACAUUCUUAUCGCACGAAAUAGCAUAGCGCGUCACCCAAGAGCCUUUUUUACACUCUUCGUUCAGCAGGGAGGAAUGGUAUACCUUCAUCUGACCAGCACCUAAGAGCACCCCAAACAUUUACUUACUGGGCCUAGGAACUCUAGAAAGCCGUGCGUUGGUGGGGGUGAAUUUUCAUCUGUUUUACAGGGCAGGUGUUUGAGGAAUGCCCUGACUGCGCCCGUUACACCGUCUUCUGAUUCCAUGGCCUUGGCAAGCUCCACGGCCUUUUCUUUCACCUGAAAAUCACAUGGGGAAAAUACAUGUUUGCUGUAAUUUUACUAACAGGAGAUCAUACAAACUAGUGAGUUAUAAAUAAGUUCUGAAUCAGGGAAGUUUAGUUUAGUACUGAUUUGUGUAUAUGUCCCAAAGCUGUUCCAAUCUGAGAACUUAAUAUCUGAAUUUGAACAUUCUAACUAUCCAAUUUAACGGACCGGUUCCUGUUUCUUGGCAGUAACCAGUCUGUUCCUGGCUUUUGGAACCCUGCUGGGUACCAAACUACGAAUGCACUGGUAAGUUACCGACGACAACAGAAUCUUUCCAAAAACUCAAGUAAAUGGUCAUUCAUCUUGACAAUGUAUAUUUGGAUUAAGUCCUCAUGUAAAAAAUGGUGAAGGUCUUAAAUGGUGGAUGGAUCAUGGGGUUCUAAACUUCUAAUUAUCAAGGUGAUAAUCUAGCAAUUUUGUACUCCCUCCGUUCCUAAAUACUUGUCUUUCUAGGCAUUUCAAC